rnacentral:rRNA from 1 species
AACGAACGCUGGCGGCGUGCCUAAUACAUGCAAGUCGAACGCAGUUGGGACGGGUUAGUAACACGUGGGUAACCUCCCAUCAGAGGGGAUAACACUUGGAAACAGGUGCUAAACCGAUACUGAUGGAUGGACCCGCGGUGCAUUAGCUAGUUGGGGAGGUAACGGCUCACCAAGGCCACGAUUCAUAGCCUCACUGAGAGGGGGAUCAGCCACACUGGGACUGAGACACGGCCCAGACUCCUACGGGAGGCAGCAGUGGGGAAUCUUGGGCAAUGGACGAAAGUCUGAUCCAGCAACGCCGCGUGUGUGAAGAAGGUUUUCGGAUCGUAAAACUCUGUUGGUAGGGAAGCGGUAUCUAAACAGAAAGCAACGGCUAACUACGUGCCAGCAGCCGCGGUAAUAC